CGGGGGGUGGCGCAGUUUGGCUUAGCGCGUUUGAAUGGGGUUCAAAAGGCCGCGGGUUCAAGUCCCGCUCCCCCGA
rnacentral:tRNA from 1 species